rnacentral:tRNA from 1 species
GCGGUCGUAGCUCAGCUGGUUAGAGCGCUGGAUUGUGGUUCCUGAGGUCGCGGGUUCGAGCCCCGUCGAUCGCCC